CUCCUUCUCCCUCUUUUCUUCAUUUUUCUUUAUCCUUCUCGUCGGUGGAAAACCGCCCAAAUCACUCAAAUCAUCCAAAAUUUUCGCUUUAAUUGUUGAAAUUCAUCUUCAAUCUUUCAAAUAUGCUUCAUUCGUUGAAAUCCCUCCAAGUCCAGCUUCGUUCGUUCAAAUCGCCCCAAAUCCAACUUCAUUCGCUCAAAUCUAACUUCAUUCGCUCAAAUCCAACUUCAAUCUUCAAUCUGUCAAUUCAAAUUCAAUCUUCUGUCGCUCAAAUCCCGUUUUUUCAUAUUUUGGCUAAAAAUCCUUCAAUAAUUAUG
rnacentral:lncRNA from 1 species